CAGCCGCCGCGGGAAUACGAAGGGUGCAAGCGUUAAUCGGAAUUACUGGGCGUAAAGCGUGCGUAGGCGGUGAGUUAAGUCUGCUGUGAAAUCCCCGGGCUCAACCUGGGAAUGGCAGUGGAUACUGGCUCGCUAGAGUGUGUCAGAGGAUGGUGGAAUUCCCGGUGUAGCAGUGAAAUGCGUAGAGAUCGGAAGGAACAUCUGUGGCGAAGGCGACUAUCUGGGCCAACACUGACACUGAGGCACGAAAGCGUGGGGAGCAGACAGGAUUAGAUACCCCAGUAGUCCCUGUCUCUUAUAC
rnacentral:rRNA from 1 species